GACGAACGCUGGCGGCGUGCUUAACACAUGCAAGUCGAACGGUAAGGCCCUUCGGGGUACACGAGUGGCGAACGGGUGAGUAACACGUGGGUGAUCUGCCCUGCACUUCGGGAUAAGCCUGGGAGACUGGGUCUAAUACCGGAUAGGACCACUGCCUGCAUGGGUGGUGGUGGAAAGCAUUUGCGGUGUGGGAUGGGCCCGCGGCCUAUCAGCUUGUUGGUGGGGUGAUGGCCUACCAAGGCGACGACGGGUAGCCGGCCUAAGAGGGUGACCGGCCACACUGGGACUGAGAUACGGCCCAGACUCCUACGGGAGGCAGCAGUGGGGAAUAUUGCACAAUGGGCGCAAGCCUGAUGCAGCGACGCCGCGUGAGGGAUGACGGCCUUCGGGUUGUAAACCUCUUUCAGCACCGACGAAGCGCAAGUGACGGUAGGUGCAGAAGAAGGACCGGCCAACUACGUGCCAGCCGCCGCCGUAA
rnacentral:rRNA from 1 species